CAAAGGGCAAGAGGGUAGAGACAACAAUGCAUCACGUGGAGCAGUCCAAAUGUCACUAAGAGUGUCCAUGAUUGAGCCUUUGAAUGAAGAGAUACAACUGUCCAGUGUUUUUGGCAGCUCGUUCCAGUCGCUAGCUGCAGAGAGCUGAAAAGAGGAGCAACGCAGGGAUGUGUGUGCUUUGGGGACCAGAGGGCUGCAGUAGGUAUCUCAGAUAGGUGGGAGUUAGGCCUAAGAGGGUACAUGCUUUGUCGUCUUCUUUGACGGACUGUGUGGUUUUACUCCGUUUCAUUACAUUAGCUGUAGGCUACCACAUGAAUGCAUAAUAUAUAAACAACUUGCACGUCACAUUUCAAAACAAGUACUUGCAUGGUGGCUUCAAUGACAGGUUUAGAUACUCUGCGGUGCCUUGUUAGGUCGAGAGCUCAACUACGAUAUCCACAAUCCCUUUCGCAUCAUACGCGGCAGGUUUUUCUCGGAUCGGAGUACGCUACAAUUCAAAACGAGACGUCUCUGUUUAUGUUCAACACACCUCCAACAUAUUAUUCUGCUGUCCGCACGGAGAGCGAAGCAUUAAAAAUAAAAAUAAACAUUUUGGGGGAAUGUAACUUUGUACAGGAAGAAAGCUAACACGAAAGCGUCGUAUGAUUGGCCAUUCUGACUGUUUUUUUUUGUAUCAAACAUUGAGAUUUGUUGACAAAUUGCCUUUGUUAGCUGGUAACUCAACCAACUUGGUCUGAAGCGGCGGGUGGUAGAUGGUUGUCCCCCGCUCACUGAGCGGUGUGUCUCGGCAGGAGGAGCGCAUCGACUCCGCUGGCCAACAGGCAAGGUCCUUACUUGCUCCCCCUUCCACUUGCCUCUUCCAGUUCUGCGGUAAUGCUGCAAUUAGUUGGGUUGCAGCGGCGACAACCAACAGGCACAUGCAGGAUGAGGAGGCGGAGCUGAAGCUCAGCUGACCCCACCCAUUUAGUGUGACCUCCCUCCUACCCUCACCCAUCCAGCCAGCCGGGCCCAUGUUCUCUCCAGAGCAGGAAAAUAUCUCCCCCUCCUCCACCUCCUCCUCCAAAGUGCCGGUGAAAUAUGGAGAGCUCAUGGUGCUGGGGUAA
ensembl:lncRNA